UGGGGAAUAUUGCACAAUGGGGGAAACCCUGAUGCAGCGACGCCGCGUGAGCGAAGAAGGCUUUCGAGUCGUAAAGCUCUGUCCUAUGAGAAGAUAAUGACGGUAUCAUAGGAGGAAGCCCUGGCUAAAUACGUGCCAGCAGCCGCGGUAAUACGUAUGGGGCGAGCGUUGUCCGGAAUUAUUGGGCGUAAAGGGUACGUAGGUGGUUUUUUAAGUCAGGUGUCAAAGCGUGGAGCUUAACACCAUUAAGCACUUGAAACUGAAAGACUUGAGUGAAGGAGAGGAAAGUGGAAUUCCUAGUGUAGCGGUGAAAUGCGUAGAUAUUAGGAGGAAUACCGGUGGCGAAGGCGACUUUCUGGACUUUUACUGACGCUCAGGUACGAAAGCGUGGGGAGCAAACAGG
rnacentral:rRNA from 1 species